AAAAAUGGCUUCCUGCGCUGCAUCCAUGACAGGGGUGGCUGCCUCCAGCCUCUCCCUCAAGGCUAACUUCUCCGGCCUGAGGCGCGGAACUAAGGUGGACUCCAUCGCCAUGAGUCGGAGUUCCUCCUUCGCUAGCAAGACCGCCAUCGCUAAGUCGUCCGGCAAAGUCACUUGCGAGGCCAACACUGCUCUGACGAUCACCCUCAGCACUGGCGCCCUGUUGUUCCUCGGCCGCUUUGUCUUCCUCCCCUUCCAGAGGGACAAUGUACGAUUUCUUCCUGUUUGGGUCUUUUGUCGCUUUGCAUGCUGUUCUCUUACUUGAUUGAGAUCGCGUGGUUGGAUUGGGAGCUACCGGGAUGUGUGAGAGGCGCUUCCUCGUAGCUGGAUGAUUCAGCUCUGCCCGUGACUGAGCGCGCUUCACUCCUUGCGCUGUGGAAGCCCUCGCACUGUCAAUCGUAUUCAAAUUUGAAUAUCGUUAUUUGCGUGUCCAUGGUAGGAGCCUCAGUCUCACUUGACAUUCUGACACUUAAUAGAAAUCAUCACUCCCGUGUAUGUCCAGAAAUGUCUCGACCUAAAUAUUUACCGAGAAGGUGGUGAGGGCCGAUGUGCUUAGCCCUGGCAUCCUCGUCCUUUCGGUCAAAUGCAAUUAUUUACAACGUCUUCUCUAUGAGUGGACUGUGGCGAACCUGCCCUCUGAAUUUGUGGCCGACGUCUAUGCAGG
rnacentral:lncRNA from 1 species